GCCCCUGCCCCGCCCCCGCCGCCGCGCCGCCUCCUCCUCCUCCUCCUCCCCGCCGGGGUGAAACUCGAGCGCCCCACCCGCGCCUGACCUCCCCGAGCCCCUCCCCGGGCCCCGCCCCUUCCCGGUACAGGACCCCCACCUUCGCUCCUGGGAGCCCCGCUGCACCCCAGGAGUUCCAUUCCAGCCUCCCCAGUGCGAGUGCGGCCGAGCGCUGACUUUUGGGGGCUCCCUCCCCCGUCUCACUGGGUCCCUCUGCGGCUCCCCCGCCCGCUGUCCCGGUUCAGACGUGGCUGCACCCCGGAGGGGGGCGCCGGCCGAGACCUGAGACGUGGCGCUCCCUCUCUGCCGGCCUCGGCUUCAGUGCUUGAAUUUCAGCCACAUCCCUAAGCUGCCAUCUCAGACCAGAGGAACAGGGAGGGGGGCUUUCUGGAAAGAACAUCACCUGGAAGAAAUCAGGACAUGACUGUGGGCCAUGAGUGACCUUCAAAGGAAAGCCGGGUAUCUGUGGUCUUUAAGAUGUGGUAAGAUUGUAUUAAAAUUAUAGAAAAAAACCUCAAUCCAGAAAUCGUGGCCUCUUGACAUUUACAUCUUAACUGCAUUUUCCUACCAAUGAGAUGCAUUACAAUCAUCCUCCAUAAGUGUUCUCUUUUUACCCCUGUUUCCAUUCUUUUAGAUCCAUGACAUUUAAAAACUGAAGAAAUGGAAAGAUCAUCUGAUCAGGCCCAUCAGUCUUUUUCCUAAUGCUAAACAUUGGUACAAAGACGUGAAGUUUGAUGUCUCACUAAGAUUGCCUAGGGCUGCUUUAUUGCUCACCUACUUCAAAGUAUUGGGAAAACAUGAUUAUGGGUACAGGUGAUGCUGUGUUGCCCCCAGACAGGUUUCUUUUGUCAGGUUCUUUUGAUGGAUUAGGAACCUACAAGUGGGGAGAUUUUAGGGAAAUAGCCCCUCCACUUGGAUUUCACCAAAACGUCUUUAGGGUUCUCUUACCCCAAGAAACACGCAUUCCUCUUUAGUGUGGCAGCCCACUCUAUUGGCAAAGUUAAGCAGACCAGUUUUACUAAAAAGGAGCCACCCAGAAACUUAGACAGAAAAUACUUGAGGCACAGAUGAGAAUGAGCACAAAUGUGCAUAGCAAGUGCAGUUUCCUGGCCCUUAAACUGAAGGGCCAGGUCAGUCUGCUCCUCCAGGCACAGCCUGGGACCCCAUCAUGUGCCCCACUCUGCAGUCUGAGCUUCCACUCAAGUCCACCAGGGCCUGCCUCACAUAUAUAUACAAGACCCAAUGUCAGAGUCUGCCUCUGCCCAUGUCUGGUCAGAGGGUUGCACUUUGCCACUGCUACAUGUUCCCAGAGGUUGGCACAGCAUGACCUGGACCUCACCUAACCCAGGCAAACUCUGCUCAUCUUCGAGCUCUCUGGAACCCAUUUCUCAAGGGAGAACCACAUUCCCCCACCUCACAGCCAAGUUCAAGGAAGCAGCCUGGCUAAAGCAAUGACUCAAGGAUACCAGAAGCAGAGCACGCAUUUAAGAAGAUGCGCUGACUCGCAGGAGCAGCUGACUCUUCUUAAGAAGAGUUUACUGAUUCUUCUUUCAGUACGGGCCUUUUAAUAAGAUAUUGUAUUUUACUUCAGCUAUGGGUGCAGACAAUUAAAGGAUUCUAGAAAUCUGAAAGUGUUUUGCCUUGUCCUCUUGGUUAAAUUUCUGGAUAUAUUGUCUAGCAACUCAAUUUGCUUAAACAAAAUUGUUGUGUCAAAAAAGCCCAAGUCAUCUUUUAUAAGUGUGGUCUGGGGAGAAGAAAAAAAUGCUAAGUUUAAAAGAUUUUUGGAAUAUCUGAAGAAAAUACAGAUAGCUUGUAAUGGAGAUGAA
rnacentral:lncRNA from 1 species